UGGAGGCUGUUAUAGCAGCAAUGUUCCAACAUCUAGUGGAAAGCCUUCCCAGAAGACUGAAGGCUGUUAUAGCAGCAAUGUUUUAAGUGUUUAAAUCAAGUUGGUUAUUGUUUCAACUAAGGAUUGCUGCUUUAAAUAAAAUGUGAUUUGAUUUGACAGUGUGACUGAAUGGAAUAGCAAACCUACCUGCUUCACAGAAGGAGGCCAGUGUCAGAAACAGCUGAACAUCACAGUUUAUAAGCUUCCAGACCGUGUCUCCAUCAGCUACAGGAAGUACCCUGAUCCGAUGGUUGAGGGGCAUCAGUACCUGCUGCAGUGUCUUGUCCAGAACAUCGCUCCUAUUGGGAGACUUAGGGUGACCUUCUACAAAGUCAGUGCCACUGGUGAACAGACAGAAUUAGACACACAAACAGAAAUCCAAGGACAACAUCAAGACACCAGAGAAUGGGACCUACACCCUGGACUUCACCCCUGGUAGAGAUGAUGACGGGGCCCAGUUGUUGUGUUCGGCCAUGUUGGAUCUGGGACCAGAGGGACCCCAACCUCCUCCUGUAAUGGACUCAAACCGCCUCAACACCAACGUGCACUACAAGCCUCAGAUCACUAGUCCUGGAUGUUUCUCCAUGAGCAUCACGGAGGGUGACACCCUAUCACUUAACUGUAGAGCAAAUGGUAACCCUGCCCCCUCCUACAAUUGGUUGCU